GGAGUAUGGACCGUGUCUCAGUUCCAUUGUGGCCGAUCAACCUCUCAGAACCCCUACUGAUCGUCGCCUUGGUGGGCCGUUACCCCGCCAACAAGCUAAUCAGACGCAUCCCCAUCCCUUAGCGAUAAAUCUUUGCUCCUCGUUAGAUGCCUGCAAAGGAGAACAUAGAGUAUUAAUCCGACUUUCGCCGGGCUAUCCUCUACUAAGGGGAAGGUUGGAUACGCGUUACUCACCCGUGCGCCGGUCGCCAGCAACAAUAGCAAGCUAUCGCCCUGCUGCCCCUCGACUUGCAUGUGUUAAGCCUGUAGCUAGCGUUCAUC
rnacentral:rRNA from 1 species